rnacentral:rRNA from 1 species
GAUGAACGCUGGCGGCGUGCCUAAUACAUGCAAGUCGAGCGAACGGACGAGAAGCUUGCUUCUCUGAUGUUAGCGGCGGACGGGUGAGUAACACGUGGAUAACCUACCUAUAAGACUGGGAUAACUUCGGGAAACCGUAGCUAAUACCGGAUAAUAUUUUGAACCGCAUGGUUCAAAAGUGAAAGACGGUCUUGCUGUCACUUAUAGAUGGAUCCGCGCUGCAUUAGCUAGUUGGUAAGGUAACGGCUUACCAAGGCAACGAUGCAUAGCCGACCUGAGAGGGUGAUCGGCCACACUGGAACUGAGACACGGUCCAGACUCCUACGGGAGGCAGCAGUAGGGAAUCUUCCGCAAUGGGCGAAAGCCUGACGGAGCAACGCCGCGUGAGUGAUGAAGGUCUUCGGAUCGUAAAACUCUGUUAUUAGGGAAGAACAUAUGUGUAAGUAACUGUGCACAUCUUGACGGUACCUAAUCAGAAAGCCACGGCUAACUACGUGCCAGCAGCCGCGGUAAUACGUAGGUGGCAAGCGUUAUCCGGAAUUAUUGGGCGUAAAGCGCGCGUAGGCGGUUUUUUAAGUCUGAUGUGAAAGCCCACGGCUCAACCGUGGAGGGUCAUUGGAAACUGGAAAACUUGAGUGCAGAAGAGGAAAGUGGAAUUCCAUGUGUAGCGGUGAAAUGCGCAGAGAUAUGGAGGAACACCAGUGGCGAAGGCGACUUUCUGGUCUGUAACUGACGCUGAUGUGCGAAAGCGUGGGGAUCAAACAGGAUUAGAUACCCUGGUAGUCCACGCCGUAAACGAUGAGUGCUAAGUGUUAGGGGGUUUCCGCCCCUUAGUGCUGCAGCUAACGCAUUAAGCACUCCGCCUGGGGAGUACGACCGCAAGGUUGAAACUCAAAGGAAUUGACGGGGACCCGCACAAGCGGUGGAGCAUGUGGUUUAAUUCGAAGCAACGCGAAGAACCUUACCAAAUCUUGACAUCCUUUGACAACUCUAGAGAUAGAGCCUUCCCCUUCGGGGGACAAGGUGACAGGUGGUGCAUGGUUGUCGUCAGCUCGUGUCGUGAGAUGUUGGGUUAAGUCCCGCAACGAGCGCAACCCUUAAGCUUAGUUGCCAUCAUUAAGUUGGGCACUCUAAGUUGACUGCCGGUGACAAACCGGAGGAAGGUGGGGACGACGUCAAAUCAUCAUGCCCCUUAUGAUUUGGGCUACACACGUGCUACAAUGGACAAUACAAAGGGCAGCGAAACCGCGAGGUCAAGCAAAUCCCAUAAAGUUGUCCUCAGUUCGGAUUGUAGUCUGCAACUCGACUACAUGAAGCUGGAAUCGCUAGUAAUCGUAGAUCAGCAUGCUACGGUGAAUACGUUCCCGGGUCU